GUUGGGUCCGAGGCGCACACCGAUUUCAGCAAGGUCUUUGGGACAAUUAAAACACCAGUUAAUCACAUGGUUCUUACUACUAUUUAAACAUCUAUUAUUCGGUUAAUUACUUGAACGCGUUUUUAUCAUUCGGUGGAUAAGAUUCACCGAUCAAAGACUAGCAGGAUGGGUUUACUUACCAGAGAACAGGUUCUCGAAAGAAGUGCCACCAAAGAAUUCUUUAAAUACUUCCUCAGGGUCUCUAAACAUGAAGGUACCAGUGAAGUGUGGA